rnacentral:rRNA from 1 species
UUGGAGGGCAAGUCUGGUGCCAGCAGCCGCGGUAAUUCCAGCUCCAAUAGCGUAUAUUAAAGUUGUUGCAGUUAAAAAGCUCGUAGUUGAAUUUCGGGGUCAGUAGGUUGGUCGUGCCACUGGUAUGCACUGGUCUCACUGAUUCCUCCUUCCUGAUGAACCGUAAUGCCAUUAAUUUGGUGUUGCGGGGAAUCUGGACUGUUACUUUGAAAAAAUUAGAGUGUUUAAAGCAGGCUAACGCUUGAAUACAUUAGCAUGGAAUAAUGAAAUAGGACGAUCGAUCCUAUUUUGUUGGUUUCUAGGAUUGACGUAAUGAUUAAUAGGGAUAGUUGGGGGCAUUAGUAUUCAAUUGUCAGAGGUGAAAUUCUUGGAUUUAUUGAAGACUAACUACUGCGAAAGCAUUUGCCAAGGAUGUUUUCAUUAAUCAAGAACGAAAGUUAGGGGAUCGAAGACGAUCAGAUACCGUCGUAGUCUUAACCAUAAACUAUGCCGACUAGGAAUCGGAUGAUGUUAUUUUUAAUGACUCAUUCGGCGCCUUACGGGAAA